rnacentral:rRNA from 1 species
CCUACGGGUGGCAGCAGUGAGGAAUAUUGGUCAAUGGGCGCGAGCCUGAACCAGCCAAGUCGCGUGAGGGAAGACGGCCCUACGGGUUGUAAACCUCUUUUGCCGGGGAGCAACGGGCGCCACGUGUGGCGCCACUGAGAGUACCCGGAGAAAAAGCAUCGGCUAACUCCGUGCCAGCAGCCGCGGUAAUACGGAGGAUGCGAGCGUUAUCCGGAUUUAUUGGGUUUAAGGGGUGCGUAGGCGGAGCGUUAAGUCAGUGGUAAAAUGGAGGGGCAAAAACCCUUCCCGCCAGUGAAACUGGCGCUCUGGAGAGGAAGAGAGGUAAGCGGAAUGCGUGGUGUAGGGGUGAAAUGCAUAGAUAUCA